rnacentral:rRNA from 1 species
CCACCCGUUCCCAUGCCGAACACGGAAGUUAAGCUCUUUAGCGCCGAUGGUAAUUGGGGGGCAACCCCCUGUGAGCGUAGGACGUUGCCUGGC